GACGAACGCUGGCGGCGUGCCUAAUACAUGCAAGUCGAGCGGAAGUUGGAGAGCUUGCUCUUCAACUUUAGCGGCGGACGGGUGAGUAACACGUGGGCAACCUGCCCUGCAGAUCGGGAUAACUCCGGGAGACCGGUGCUAAUACCGAAUAGUUUUCGCCACCUCCUGGUGGCGUACGGAAAGACGGUUUCGGCUGUCACUGCAGGAUGGGCCCGCGGGGCAUUAGCUAGUUGGUGGGGUAACGGCCCACCAAGGCGACGAUGCGUAGCCGACCUGAGAGGGUGAUCGGCCACACUGGGACUGAGACACGGCCCAGACUCCUACGGGAGGCAGCAGUAGGGAAUCUUCCGCAAUGGACGAAAGUCUGACGGAGCAACGCCGCGUGAGUGACGAAGGUUUUCGGAUCGUAAAACUCUGUUGUGAGGGAAGAACAAGUACCAACUAACUACUGGUACCUUGACGGUACCUCACCAGAAAGCCACGGCUAACUACGUGCCAGCCGCCGCGGUAAGAC
rnacentral:rRNA from 1 species